AUACUUUCAACAAUAAAGAUAAAAACAAAAAGGCCUUUUAUGCACAAUGCCUUCAGGAGAUGGAUCGCAAAAGACUAGACCAAUAGAUCAAUAACUGUUUGCUUUUUGCAUCCACCAAGCUGAUCGUUUAUAAUAUCUAACAAAUAGGGAUACUAUUUAUGGUAUUCUAUUUAUUGAUUACUGGAUUUUGAGUGGGCCCAAUUUAAAAAAUGAAAUAUAGGUCAACCGAAAGCUACAUAUUUUGUAAAUCUAAUUCAUGUGAGAGGUUGGUUUAAAGGCUAUAAUUAAUUUAUUUAAUUAAAUGUAAAAGCUUUCUAGCUGAUAUAACUAAUGGAAAUAAUGUUCUGCUUUACAGAAAUCAUAUUUCAUUUUUGUUGGGUCUAUAUUAGAUGUCUGGUGGUCUUUUAAUAAUUUAAGAUCUGUGAGGAAAGACAAUGGGAUUUUUGUUCCAAUGGAUAUUGUGAAUUGGUAAUCUUGAAGGAAUUAUGACUUUGUGUUUUACUAUAUCCUGUGAUAAGAGCUCAGCCAGUUUUCAGAUAUAUCUACUUAUAUUCAGACAUGGAUGCAGCUCGGAGUGGGUGGACGUGCAUGAAAAACCUGGCAGCAUCCAUAGUGGGAGGAAGAAUAUUUUUUUAAUUGGGAAAACACCCAGAACAGUUUUUUGGGGUUUUUUGCAAAGGACAAAAAGUCCUCAAAAUUAUCAAGAAAGAAAAUUAUUCUUUGCUCUGAAACUUUUUGGUAAAAUGCCAUCCAGAUGAUUAGCUACAAUAAGGCAGUGGAAGGUAUAUGAUUAAGCACACGCUGAUGGUGGUAUUUAUAGCGCUUCCUUACCUUGGAGGAGAGCUGUGCUCAGGAAACUUGGUUGCAAACCAGCUCUCCUUUCUGGUGCUUGCUGGCGCUCCAGGCUGGACUUCGAGGCUCUGUGGGCUGACUGCGUGACCUUGAGCAAGUCACUUCCUCCCUCAGGGAUGUCAACAUUUCCUUAUGUGUAAAACGAUUGGUUAGAAGAACAACUUUAAUUAAAAAAAAUAUUUUUAAGGGCAGAUGCAGGCUAGAAGGGGUCAUUGGGGGUGAAAGGGGGACAUAUGUAAUACUUUCAACAAUAAAGAUUAAGAAAUAUUUUUUUAAACUACCGAAAAACAAUAUAUACUCAUCAUUCAGCCCUUAGGAAAAUUCUGGAGCAUUAUAGUUGCUCAAUAUAUAUGGAUUGAAUGUAUAAACUGCUGUGUGGGGUGUUUUUUUGUGUUUUUUUUUAAAGGAAAAGAGUACAAAGAUUUAAAUCACCUAUAAUUUUAACAUUUUGUUUUCUGUCCUUUCAGGUUGUUUCCUUGUGGGGGGGGAGGAAGGGGGGCAUAUAAACAAUUUCCCUUCUACUAGUGCACACUCUUUGGAGUCUGCCUCGUCGAUAAAUAAUGCUCUUCAUUGAACUAUCAUUGAAGAAUACGAUUUCCAUGACCUGGUUAUCCUCUCCGAGUUGAGUCUGUGUCAAAGCUUUCUCUCUGGUCCCCAUAUCGCCCAUGCACCAGGCCUUCAUUCCUGCCUUUCUGAAGAUGCCACAACCUGGUGUCCCAUAAGCACCUCAAACUCAGCAUGUUCCAAACCAAAUUUAUCCUUCCCGCCAAGUCCCUCACCCACAUUUUAUCCUGUUUCCCAAACUGUUAACAGCUUCAUGCUCUUCUUUUCAGGGUUGGACAUUUUGGUGGUUUCCAGUUUUUUUUGGUUUUUGCUUGUGUAUACUGUGAUGUAGAUCAUUACUCAGAUUCUUGAUGAUUGACUUAGAAAUCACCCUUCAGAAAGAAAUGACUCGGCCAAGCAAAGAAAAGCCACAGCAAGAUUGGAAGUGGCCAGCGUGUCUGGGGACAAGGUGACGUUGCAGAGGCUACUAGUCCAGUCGGAAGGCGAAGAUGGCACUGGGCAGUGGAGGUGGCCAUGCAGGGAGUAAAGAGACUCAUGGAAUAUGCAGGAGGUAGCCUGAGGAAGGGGGCCUUGCUGGUGGAUUGGAUUUGGGGGUGUAAGGAAGAAGAAAGGUAAAGUUCAAGGGUGACUCCUAAGGCUGGUUUGCACAGUUGGUUGGAUUGGAUUAAUAUUUCACAACUGGGGAGACCAGGAGACGAGCAUGGAGAGGCAAUGCGGAGGACAGCUUUAAAAGCCGAGUGUGCUUCUGGAUUGGAAACACAAAUUGGGAGCUUGUUUCCCUACGUCUCAGUGACGCCGAGAAAGCUGCAAAUCCAGCCAGCAUUCUUCUCCCUGCAGCUCAAACGCACUGCUGGAACUUCUUUUUGUUUGACUUGGGUUGAGCAAGUCCUGUGAUUGAUUUUAGUGAAACAAAUCACUUGUUUCAGGAUGAGCUUAGAAAUGGGGGAGAAGAAGAAGAAGGAAGAAAAUGCUUGGGAUGCUUUCAAUCAUGAUUUACAACCAAAUACUUUGUUAAAUAAAAUCUUGUGUUAUGUAAAAUGA